UACGGAGGAUGCAAGCGUUAUCCGGAUUCAUUGGGUUUAAAGGGUGCGCAGGCUGAUUAUUAAGUCAGGGGUGAAAUCUCUCGGCUCAACCGAGAAACUGCCUUUGAUACUGAUAGUCUAGAGUAUAGUUGAAGUUGGCGGAAUGUGUCAUGUAGCGGUGAAAUGCUUAGAUAUGACACAGAACACCGAUCGCGAAGGCAGCUAGCUAAGCUAUAACUGACGCUCAUGCACGAAAGCGUGGGGAUCAAACAGG
rnacentral:rRNA from 1 species